rnacentral:rRNA from 1 species
GGGUUGUGAGGUUAAGCGACUAAGCGUACACGGUGGAUGCCCUGGCAGUCAGAGGCGAUGAAGGACGUGCUAAUCUGCGAUAAGCGUCGGUAAGGUGAUAUGAACCGUUAUAACCGGCGAUUUCCGAAUGGGGAAACCCAGUGUGAUUCGUCACACUAUCAUUAACUGAAUCCAUAGGUUAAUGAGGCGAACCGGGGAACUGAAACAUCUAAGUACCCCGAGGAAAAGAAAUCAACCGAGAUUCCCCCAGUAGCGGCGAGCGAACGGGGAGCAGCCCAGAGCCUGAAUCAGUGUGUGUGUUAGUGGAAGCGUCUGGAAAGGCGCGCGAUACAGGGUGACAGCCCCGUACACAAAAAUGCACAUGCUGUGAGCUCGAUGAGUAGGGCGGGACACGUGGUAUCCUGUCUGAAUAUGGGGGGACCAUCCUCCAAGGCUAAAUACUCCUGACUGACCGAUAGUGAACCAGUACCGUGAGGGAAAGGCGAAAAGAACCCCGGCGAGGGGAGUGAAAAAGAACCUGAAACCGUGUACGUACAAGCAGUGGGAGCACGCUUAGGCGUGUGACUGCGUACCUUUUGUAUAAUGGGUCAGCGACUUAUAUUCUGUAGCAAGGUUAACCGAAUAGGGGAGCCGAAGGGAAACCGAGUCUUAACUGGGCGUUAAGUUGCAGGGUAUAGACCCGAAACCCGGUGAUCUAGCCAUGGGCAGGUUGAAGGUUGGGUAACACUAACUGGAGGACCGAACCGACUAAUGUUGAAAAAUUAGCGGAUGACUUGUGGCUGGGGGUGAAAGGCCAAUCAAACCGGGAGAUAGCUGGUUCUCCCCGAAAGCUAUUUAGGUAGCGCCUCGUGAAUUCAUCUCCGGGGUAGAGCACUGUUUCGGCAAGGGGGUCAUCCCGACUUACCAACCCGAUGCAAACUGCGAAUACCGGAGAAUGUUAUCACGGGAGACACACGGCGGGUGCUAACGUCCGUCGUGAAGAGGGAAACAACCCAGACCGCCAGCUAAGGUCCCAAAGUCAUGGUUAAGUGGGAAACGAUGUGGGAAGGCCCAGACAGCCAGGAUGUUGGCUUAGAAGCAGCCAUCAUUUAAAGAAAGCGUAAUAGCUCACUGGUCGAGUCGGCCUGCGCGGAAGAUGUAACGGGGCUAAACCAUGCACCGAAGCUGCGGCAGCGACGCUGAUGCGUUGUUGGGUAGGGGAGCGUUCUGUAAGCCUGCGAAGGUGUGCUGUGAGGCAUGCUGGAGGUAUCAGAAGUGCGAAUGCUGACAUAAGUAACGAUAAAGCGGGUGAAAAGCCCGCUCGCCGGAAGACCAAGGGUUCCUGUCCAACGUUAAUCGGGGCAGGGUGAGUCGACCCCUAAGGCGAGGCCGAAAGGCGUAGUCGAUGGGAAACAGGUUAAUAUUCCUGUACUUGGUGUUACUGCGAAGGGGGACGGAGAAGGCUAUGUUGGCCGGGCGACGGUUGUCCCGGUUUAAGCGUGUAGGCUGGUUUUCCAGGCAAAUCCGGAAAACUAAGGCUGAGGCGUGAUGACGAGGCACUACGGUGCUGAAGCAACAAAUGCCCUGCUUCCAGGAAAAGCCUCUAAGCAUCAGGUAACAUCAAAUCGUACCCCAAACCGACACAGGUGGUCAGGUAGAGAAUACCAAGGCGCUUGAGAGAACUCGGGUGAAGGAACUAGGCAAAAUGGUGCCGUAACUUCGGGAGAAGGCACGCUGAUAUGUAGGUGAAGUCCCUCGCGGAUGGAGCUGAAAUCAGUCGAAGAUACCAGCUGGCUGCAACUGUUUAUUAAAAACACAGCACUGUGCAAACACGAAAGUGGACGUAUACGGUGUGACGCCUGCCCGGUGCCGGAAGGUUAAUUGAUGGGGUUAGCGCAAGCGAAGCUCUUGAUCGAAGCCCCGGUAAACGGCGGCCGUAACUAUAACGGUCCUAAGGUAGCGAAAUUCCUUGUCGGGUAAGUUCCGACCUGCACGAAUGGCGUAAUGAUGGCCAGGCUGUCUCCACCCGAGACUCAGUGAAAUUGAACUCGCUGUGAAGAUGCAGUGUACCCGCGGCAAGACGGAAAGACCCGUGAACCUUUACUAUAGCUUGACACUGAACAUUGAGCCUUGAUGUGUAGGAUAGGUGGGAGGCUUUGAAGUGUGGACGCCAGUCUGCAUGGAGCCGACCUUGAAAUACCACCCUUUAAUGUUUGAUGUUCUAACGUGGACCCGUAAUCCGGGUUGCGGACAGUGUCUGGUGGGUAGUUUGACUGGGGCGGUCUCCUCCUAAAGAGUAACGGAGGAGCACGAAGGUUGGCUAAUCCUGGUCGGACAUCAGGAGGUUAGUGCAAUGGCAUAAGCCAGCUUGACUGCGAGCGUGACGGCGCGAGCAGGUGCGAAAGCAGGUCAUAGUGAUCCGGUGGUUCUGAAUGGAAGGGCCAUCGCUCAACGGAUAAAAGGUACUCCGGGGAUAACAGGCUGAUACCGCCCAAGAGUUCAUAUCGACGGCGGUGUUUGGCACCUCGAUGUCGGCUCAUCACAUCCUGGGCUGAAGUAGGUCCCAAGGGUAUGGCUGUUCGCCAUUUAAAGUGGUACGCGAGCUGGGUUUAGAACGUCGUGAGACAGUUCGGUCCCUAUCUGCCGUGGGCGCUGGAGAACUGAGGGGGGCUGCUCCUAGUACGAGAGGACCGGAGUGGACGCAUCACUGGUGUUCGGGUUGUCAUGCCAAUGGCACUGCCCGGUAGCUAAAUGCGGAAGAGAUAAGUGCUGAAAGCAUCUAAGCACGAAACUUGCCCCGAGAUGAGUUCUCCCUGACUCCUUGAGAGUCCUGAAGGAACGUUGAAGACGACGACGUUGAUAGGCCGGGUGUGUAAGCGCAGCGAUGCGUUGAGCUAACCGGUACUAAUGAACCGUGAGGCUUAACCUUACAACGCCGAAGCUGUU